UACGGAGGGUGCGAGCGUUGUCCGGAAUCACUGGGCGUAAAGGGCGCGUAGGUGGCGUCGCAAGUCAACGGUGAAAGCUCGGCGCUCAACGCCGAGUCGGCCGUCGAGACUGCGAGGCUCGAGCACUGUAGGGGCAGAUGGAAUUCCGGGUGUAGCGGUGGAAUGCGUAGAGAUCCGGAAGAACACCGGUGGCGAAGGCGGUCUGCUGGGCAGUUGCUGACACUGAUGCGCGAAAGCGUGGGGAGCAAACAGG
rnacentral:rRNA from 1 species